CGGAGCCGGCCCGAGGAGGAGGAGGAUCCUAGGACCCAGGGUCCACCAUGGAGUAGUAAACCCAAGAAACACAGGCAGAAUCAUUUGGUGCUGGACCAGAUCUUUCAGGAACAUCCCAGCGACAACGAGCCUGAACACUGCAGUGGGAGUGCUGAGUCUGCUGUCUGUACCUGCUUGUUGGAGGCGCUCAGAGUCCCAGGUCUGCAGAUCACCAGAGGGCCUACUAAGCCGGAAUUGGUAUCGCGCAUGGGAU